rnacentral:rRNA from 1 species
AGCAGCCGCGGUAAUUCCAGCUCCAAUAGCGUAUAUUAAAGUUGUUGCAGUUAAAAAGCUCGUAGUUGAAUUUCGGGAUCAAUACGUCGGUCGUGCUUAGGUACGUACUGGCGUAAUUGAUUUCUCCCUUCUGACGAACCAUGAUGUCAUUAACUUGGUGUCAUGGGAAAUCAGGACUGUUACUUUGAAAAAAUUAGAGUGUUUAAAGCAGGCUCACGCUUGAAUACAUUAGCAUGGAAUAAUGAAAUAGGACGUUCGAUCCUAUUUUGUUGGUUUUUAGGAUCAACGUAAUGAUUAAUAGGGAUAGUUGGGGGCAUUAGUAUUCAAUUGUCAGAGGUGAAAUUCUUGGAUUUAUUGAAGACUAACUACUGCGAAAGCAUUUGCCAAGGAUGUUUUCAUUAAUCAAGAACGAAAGUUAGGGGAUCGAAGACGAUCAGAUACCGUCGUAGU